GCGCUCUUGGCGUAGUGGUAGCGCGUGUCUCUCCUACUCUCAUCCGUAAGAACGAUAACUCGUAGGAUCUCUGUUGUUACAAGACGAGGUCGUGGGUUCGACCCCCACAGGGCGCU
rfam:Pseudozyma hubeiensis SY62 DNA, scaffold: PHS23.